rnacentral:rRNA from 1 species
AGUCGAGCGAUGAAGUUUCUUCGGAAAUGGAUUAGCGGCGAACGGGUGCGGAACACGUGAAGAAUCUGCCCUCCACUUUGGGAUAACACCGGGAAACCGGUGCUAAUACUGAAUAUUGAAACAUAAGUGGCAUCACUGAGUUUUGAAAGAAUUUCGGUGGAGGAUGACUUCGCGGCCUAUCAGCUAGUUGGUGAGGUAAUGGCUCACCAAGGCAACGACGGGUAGCCGGCCUGAGAGGGCGACCGGCCACACUGGGACUGAGACACGGCCCAGACUCCUACGGGAGGCAGCAGUGGGGAAUAUUGGGCAAUGGAGGAAACUCUGACCCAGCGACGCCGCGUGCGGGAUGAAGGCCUUCGGGUUGUAAACCGCUUUCAGUAGGGAAGAAGCGAAAGUGACGGUACCUACAAAAGAAGCACCGGCUAACUAUGUGCCAGCAGCCGCGGUAAUACAUAGGGUGCAAGCGUUGUCCGGAAUUAUUGGGCGUAAAGAGCUCGUAGGUCGUUUGUUACGUCGGAUGUGAAAACCUGAGGCUCAACCUCAGGCCUGCAUUCGAUACGGGCAAACUAGAGUUUGGUAGGGGAGACUGGAAUUCCUGGUGUAGCGGUGGAAUGCGCAGAUAUCAGGAGGAACACCAAUGGCGAAGGCAGGUCUCUGGGCCAACACUGACACUGAGGAGCGAAAGUCUGGGGAGCGAACAGGAUUAGAUACCCUGGUAGUCCAGACCGUAAACGGUGGGCACUAGUUGUGGGGAACUUCCACGGUUUCUGCGACGCAGCUAACGCAUUAAGUGCCCCGCCUGGGGAGUACCAUCGCCAGAUUAAAACUC